rnacentral:rRNA from 1 species
UGGAUUAGGCAUGCAAGUCGAACGAGGGAGCAUUCCGAAAGGGGUGCAAACCGAGUGGCGUAAGGGUGAGUAAUGCAUUGAUAACCUACCUUCGAGAUGAGAAUAACAACGUUCCAAGCAAUUGGGGCUACCGAAAGGGUUGCUAAUACUCAAUGAAACUAUUAUUGCUUUGGUGGUGAUAGUCAAAUAGGCGGAAUCGAAAGGUUCCACUUGCUUGAGGAGGGGUCAAUGUCCUAUCAGCUAGUUGGCAGGGUAAUGGCCUACCAAGGCGAAGACGGGUAGCCGGCCUGAGAGGGUGGUCGGCCACACUGGGACUGAGACACUGCCCAGACUCCUACGGGAGGCUGCAGUCGAGAAUCUUUCGCAAUGCCCGAAAGGGUGACGAAGCGACGCCGCGUGCGGGAAGAAGGCCUUCGGGUUGUAAACCGCUGUCGGGAGUUAAGAAGUGCAGGGAUGUUAAUAGCGUCUCUGCUUGACUAAGGCUCCGGAGGAAGCCACGGCUAACUCUGUGCCAGCAGCCGCGGUAAUACAGAGGCGGCAAGCGUUGUUCGGAAUUAUUGGGCGUAAAGAGCACGUAGGCGGCCGUGUAAGUCGGUUGUGAAAGCCUUCCGCUCAACGGAAGGACGGCAUCCGAUACUGCAUGGCUCGAGUGCGGGAGGGGAGAGUGGAACUUCUGGUGGAGCGGUGAAAUGCGUAGAUAUCAGAAGGAACACCGGCGGCGAAGGCGACUCUCUGGUCCGUAACUGACGCUGAGUGUGCGAAAGCUAGGGGAGCAAACGGGAUUAGAUACCCCGGUAGUCCUAGCCGUAAACGAUGGGCACUAAGUAGAGGGGUUUUA